ACAUGGGCAUACUUAGUACGGCGAGUGAGCGGUAAAAGCUCAAAUUUGAAAUCUGGUACUUUCAGUGCCCGAGUUGUAAUUUGUAGAAUUUGUCUUUGAUUAGGUCCUUGUCUAUGUUCCUUGGAACAGGACGUCAUAGAGGGUGAGAAUCCCGUUUGGCGAGGAUACCUUUUCUCUGUAAGACUUUUUCGAAGAGUCGAGUUGUUUGGGAAUGCAGCUCAAAGUGGGUGGUAAAUUCCAUCUAAAGCUAAAUAUUGGCGAGAGACCGAUAGCGAACAAGUACAGUGAUGGAAAGAUGAAAAGAACUUUGAAAAGAGAGUGAAAAAGUACGUGAAAUUGUUGAAAGGGAAGGGCAUUUGAUCAGACAUGGUGUUUUUUGCAUGCACUCGCCUCUCGUGGGCUUGGGCCUCUCAAAAAUUUCACUGGGCCAACAUCAAUUCUGGCAGCAGGAUAAAUCAUUAAGAAUGUAGCUACUUCGGUAGUGUUAUAGCUUUUUGGAAUACUGUUAGCCGGGAUUGAGGACUGCGCUUCGGCAAGGAUGUUGGCAUAAUGGUUAAAUGCCGCCCGUCUUGAACCACGGACCA
rnacentral:rRNA from 1 species